UCCAAACAGUAGCUGAAUCCAAGCUGUCUAGCUACGUGUCGCUGGAACCCACAUGGUAUCAGCACAAGAAGUGCAGAGUCUAGUAUGAGUAUAACCGACCCCAUGUACUUUGUAAGUGUCGAGCCUAACCUCGACAAAGUCGUGACGAGGCUAUGGCAAGUCACUUACAAAUUACCUGUACGAAAGAAUAAUAAUAAUAAUAACAGCACAAUAGGAAUAGAAAUAAAGCAAUUAACUCAGGAUAAUGGAUCUGAAAUUUCAAUUACUAGAGAGCCCAGAAUAACAAACACUCAAGUCUCAUAUCACAAUACCGAAGAUAACUCAACAAUCAAAAAUAAUUUACAACAUAUCUAAUCCGUUGCGGCGCGCAACCCGAUCCCACCAUAUUAUCAUUUAUUCAUAUCGUAAUUUGUCCUUACUCCUUCAUUAAAUUUCAUUACCUUUCAAUUUCCAUUGCGGCAUGCAACCCGCUCCCCAAACAAUCUCAAUCAUUAACAUAAAAAAUUCAACAAUAAUAUUUAAAAAAUAUCUACAUUAAGAAGGCAAAUGUACAAGACAGUAAAGAACCAUAGAAUAAUCAGAGAAUCUCUAAAAUCUCAGACCUUUCUAGUUCAUCGGUACAUAACAGUUAAUCAGCCCACGCAAGUGAGACAACAUUAUAGAGUGCAAUAAUAAUACAAAAAUAAUAGACAAGUAAAAUAUAUGACAAUUAAGAUAUGAAAUUAAGGUAGGUAGAAACAGGUAGCAAAUAAGCAAAAAUAAUGUGGGAAACGAACAAAUUAAGGCAAUGCAAUAAUUAAAUGACAAGUGACAAAUAUAACAUAGAAGUCAAGUAAAGACAUGUAACAAUUAAAGCAUGAAACAAAAGAUACUAUGAAAUAAAAGAAAACAUGGAAAUACAUGUCCAAUUCCUGCAUACUAAAUUCCAUGAUAGCGUGUAUACACUCGUCACCUCGUAUAUAUGUCGUUUUCCUACAUAAUUCACAUAAAAAAUUAUUCAACAAAUCCUAAUUCCCUCAAGUCAAGGUUAGACAUAACACUUACCUCACUCCGCGAACAAAGCCUUCUAUCAACCACGACCUUGCCUUUUUAACAAGCCUCUAAACCAACCAAAUCUAGAAAAUUAUCGAUCAAGAUUCAUAAUAAGCUUUAGGAACUACCCAUUAACGAAAGAGGAUUAAUUUUAAUCAUUUUUGGAAAAAAACGUCAACAAAAGUCAGCCCCGUACCCACUUGGUCCAAACUCAAAGUUCGGAGCAAAACCUGAUUAUCCAUUCACCCCUAAGCCCGAUUAUGUGAUUUGUUUUAAAAUCCAAACUCAAUUUGAGGUCUAAACCUCAAUUUUAUAAAAUCCCUAAUUUAUACCAAAAUUCCUAGUUUCUACCAUGGAAAUCCUAAAUUUAAUGUUGAAAUCUUAUGAAAAGUAAUGGUGAAUUGAAAGAAAGUAGAUUAGUUACUUACCAAUGAUUUUGGAAAGAAAAGUCUCUUAAAAAAAUGUCUCUAGAGGGUUGAGAAAUGUGAACUUUUGUCCUAAAAAAUGAGGCUCGCAAUUGCAAGUCAGACCUCGCAAAUGCGAGAUCUGCAACUGAAUACCAGAAACCAGCAGACUCCAAACCAUGCAAACUCAUCUGAAACGUGUCCAAAACUCAACUGAGCUCCUCGGGCUCAAACAAAACAUACACAAGUGUAAUAACAUCAUACUAACUUGCUCGCACGAUCAAAUCAUCAAAACAACACCUAAAACUAAAAAUCAACCCUCAAAAUAAAUGAAAUUUCAAAGGGAAACUCAAGAACAACUAGAAUCACAGCUAAACGUCUGAAUCAUAUCAAAUCAACUCUGAAUUGUAUCAAAUUUUGCAAAAAAAAAAGUUUCAAAUAACAAAAUGGACCUACACCAAGUCCCAAAAUCAAAAUUCGAACUCGAUAUCCCAUAACUCAACUUACAGUUAAACCUAGGAAAUUUUCAAACUUUUCAAACUUCUAGCUGUUGGCAAAAUGAGUCAAAUCAACCUAGGAACCUUCAAUUUCAAUUUCCGCCAUACGCGCAAAUCUAAAAUCAUAAUACGGACCUACCAGAAUAAUCAAAAUACCGAUCCAGGAUUGUUUACACAAAAAUAUUGAAUGUGGCCAACUCAAGUUAUUUUUAAAGUCAAAAAUUAUAUUUUCUUCAAAUUUUUAUGUAAAAGCUUUUUAAAAAAUGACACGGACCACACACACAAAUCAAGAAAUACCAAAUGGAGCUAACGAAGAUCUCGAGCUCAAAAUUAGGGGAUAGUACUCAAAAUGACAUAUUGGGUCGUCACAUGUAUUUUUCAAGAAAAUAACACAAUAAUAUGAUAUGAGUCAUAGCAUUAUACUAAAAUAUUCAAUAACAAAGAUAAUAAAAUAUUAUAAAAAAAUAUUACUAAUUUAUAAGCCAUAAUAAAAAUUAACAUAAUCUAAAAAAACUAUAUAGAUCAUGUUAAAAAAAGUACAACUAAUAAGUAUUGUUAAUUACACAACUAAGAACUAAAAAAAAGAUAAAUGUGAUUUUUGAUUAAGGUUACAAGAGAGAAAAAUUACACCUCUCUCCAUUCUCUAGCCAAAUAUCACUAACAUGGCCACACCUCCACCCCCUGCGGAGGAUCCAUCCUAAAAAAUCCUACCGGAACCACUAGACCCUGUCACACCUCCUUUACUACCCCCGAAAGGGUGUAAGGGAGUUUUUUCCAAUUUAAGUGACGAUCGAAACAUGAUUAUUUCAUUAAAAUUCAGAGUCACCACUUGGGAUAAUUUAUGGUGUCCCAAGUCACCGGUUUAAAUCCCGAAUCGAGGAAAGAUUGACUCUGUUUUACAGUUUGCGAACACAGAAAUUCGGGUAAGGAUUUCUGUUAACCCACAAGAAGGUGUUAGGCAUUCCUGGGUUCCGUGGUUUUAGCACGGUCGCUCAACUAUUAUUAUUGGCCUAUUUAUUUGAUUUUAAAACAUCUUUGAAACCUAUGUGCAUUUUAUCCCUUUAAAGUCGCUUUUAUUAAUCUAAUUAUCAUACAACUAAUUACUUUGGUUACACAUUACGAAUUAUAUCACGGGAACCGUACCCACAAUCCACAACAUAUUUAUUUUAUUAACAAGAUUAAAUUGGCCGGGUCACAUAAAUGUGCCCCCGGAUUUUAGAAAUUAAGCAUCACAACUACGUCACGGGAACCAUACCCGUAGCCAUGACAAUUAUUUAAUUAACGUGCCUAAAGCAAACUACGACGUUCAAGACUUGUCACUAAACUGACUUGAGAUGACUUGUAAAGGCCAAAGUUAUGGAUGUUAUUGUAUAUCAAUGGUAUUGAUAAGUUAUUAAAGAUAGCUACAACUUUACAAAUUACUAAAGUUUACAUCUUGAUGUCAUUUAACGUCAUGGGCCUGUUAGCAGGGAAUCCGUUUGGCCUAUUUGAAGCUAAAGGUUAUUUAAUUGAAGUCACCUAUUAAGAAAGAAAGGAAAAAGAACUUGCAAUAAUGAGGGAUAAAGCAUCAUAUCAGAUAAAAUAUAUUCACUGCCAACAGACAAGUAAUUAGCCAAAUUCAAACAUCUUGAAAGACAAAAUCCUGUUGAAAUCGAUUAAAACCCAGGUUGUGUUAAUAAAAAUUAUUCACUCUAAAUCAUUAAUCUAAUGCAUUUAAUAGCUCAUCAUUUUUUUUCUUUAUGGAAGUUAUCUAAAUUUUAAAGAUACAACAUAACAAUAAAAUUAGAAUGGAGGACUACGGAAAAUAAUUGGAAUAAGCACAAAGUCCAGACAUGUCCACUUAAAUGUCCUUUUGAAACUACGCUCAACAAAAGGCUAUGUAAAAUUAGUAAAGAUCAGCUCAAAUAAUAAUUAAACAAAUUUCAUACAUACGGACAAUGAGAAAUCAUGAACGGAGUAAGAGACGAACCCCCAAUUAUCACUAAUUAUUUUGCUUUAUAUUGGUUCAUCUAGGCUUUACUCACAUAAAUAAGAUCAAAAUAAAGACCAUAGGAGUAGAGAUGAACCUGUUAAUUCGAAAUUCUUUUAAUAAUAGUAUAUGAAUACAAUGUUUUACUCCAAAAUUACAACUGAAAACAGCAACAAUAUCGAGCAGAAACCACGAGCUAAAUCAAAAUCGCGAACCUCAGAUGGAAAAUUGAAUCGGCCUUCAGCAGAAGAAAGCGAAGAACAGAGAGCAAGUGUCCUUGCUUUGGAAUCCAAAAAUGGGAAAGGAGAAGCCGAUCUAUUUUCCUUUUAGCUUGCCAUUCAAUUGAAAAAGAGAGGUGAAAGCUAUAUUUACAUGGCUGCUGGUGAAAACUUCCCUAUUCAGAGGGGAGAGGCGCUAGGUUAUAGCUCUUUUAGAAAUGGGAUAUGUCGUUUUUUGGGGUCCCCCUGUCCUUAGGUCUAGGGUAUAUUUGUUUUAUAGGGGUUUUAGGUUAGGGGUAUGGGCCUAGGAAUUAUGGGCUUGAGAAUGAUGGGUUAGGUCCAAAAUUAGGCCUAAAAAUG
rnacentral:lncRNA from 1 species